rnacentral:misc_RNA from 1 species
UCCGAGUUGACCCCGGCAGUCUCCUGCGAGUCCCCGCCAUUACGCGCUGGCAACACAGGACAAGGGUUGCGCUCGUUGCGGGACUUAACCCAACAUCUCACGACACGAGCUGACGACAGCCAUGCAGCACCUGUGUUCAGGUUCUCUUUCGAGCACAUCGCCAUCUCUGGCGACUUCCUGACAUGUCAAGGGUAGGUAAGGUUUUUCGCGUUGCAUCGAAUUAAUCCACAUCAUCCACCGCUUGUGCGGGUCCCCGUCAAUUCCUUUGAGUUUUAGCCUUGCGGCCGUACUCCCCAGGCGGGGUGCUUAAUGCGUUAGCUGCGGCACGAACGGCGUGGAAUACCGCUCACACCUAGCACCCACCGUUUACGGCGUGGACUAC